rnacentral:rRNA from 1 species
UACAGAGGGGGCAAGCGUUAUUCGGAAUUAUUGGGCGUAAAGGGCGCGUAGGCGGCAUGGCAAGUGGAUGGUGAAAUCCCUCGGCUUAACCGAGGAACUGCCGUCCAAACUGCUUCGCUUGAGACCGGGAGAGGUGAGUGGAAUUCCCAGUGUAGCGGUGAAAUGCGUAGAUAUUGGGAGGAACACCAGUGGCGAAGGCGGCUCACUGGACCGGUACUGACGCUGAUGCGCGAAAGCGUGGGGAGCAAACAGG